rnacentral:misc_RNA from 1 species
GAAAUGCGAUAAGUAGUGUGAAUUGCAGAAUUCAGUGAAUCAUCGAAUCUUUGAACGCACAUUGCGCCCCAUGGUAUUCCGUGGGGCAUGCCUGUUCGAGCGUCAUUUACACCCCUCAAGCUCUGCUUGGUGUUGGGCGUCUGUCCUUCCUGCGGCCCUAGCGAUCGCAUGGACUCGCCCCAAAGGCAUUGGCAGCGGUCCUGCCGGGCCUCCUAAUCGCGCAGCACUGUUCGCGCCGCCUGGAGCCCCGCGCGGAUUUCAGCGUCCACGAAGCCCGACCUCUCCGAACUUGACCUCGAAUCAGGUAGGGAUACCCGCUGAACUUAA